UUUAAACACAUCUAUGAGUUUUCGUGUCCAACUUUGAUCAUCUGUUUUAUUUUAUGAUUGGUAUUUUUUUUUGUUGUUAGAUGAGAAAACUUGAAUAGUAUUUUAUGUGUGAUUUAUAUUUUUUAAUUCUUUUAAAAAGUUUUUAAAUAAGACGGACGAUUAAAGUUGGAUAAAAAAUUUAUGGUUGCGCUAAAA
rfam:Oryza meridionalis cultivar OR44 (W2112) chromosome 3, whole genome shotgun sequence.